AUUGAACGCUGGCGGCAGGCCUAACACAUGCAAGUCGGACGGUAGCACAGAGGAGCUUGCUCCUUGGGUGACGAGUGGCGGACGGGUGAGUAAUGUCUGGGGAUCUGCCCGAUAGAGGGGGAUAACCACUGGAAACGGUGGCUAAUACCGCAUAACGUCGCAAGACCAAAGAGGGGGACCUUCGGGCCUCUCACUAUCGGAUGAACCCAGAUGGGAUUAGCUAGUAGGCGGGGUAAUGGCCCACCUAGGCGACGAUCCCUAGCUGGUCUGAGAGGAUGACCAGCCACACUGGAACUGAGACACGGUCCAGACUCCUACGGGAGGCAGCAGUGGGGAAUAUUGCGCAAUGGGCGCAAGCCUGAUGCAGCCAUGCCGCGUGUAUGAAGAAGGCCUUCGGGUUGUAAAGUACUUUCAGCGGGGAGGAAGGCGGUGCGGUUAAUAACCGCACCGAUUGACGUUACCCGCAGAAGAAGCACCGGCUAACUCCGUGCCAGCCGCCGCAGUAA
rnacentral:rRNA from 1 species